AGGGCACCACCAGGAGUGGAGCCUGCGGCUUAAUUUGACUCAACACGGGGAAACUCACCCGGCCCGGACACCGGAAGGAUUGACAGAUUGAUAGCUCUUUCUUGAUUCGGUGGAUGGUGGUGCAUGGCCGUUCUUAGUUGGUGGAGCGAUCUGUCUGGUUAAUUCCGAUAACGAACGAGACUCUAGCCUAUUAAAUAGACGUCGGGUUCUCUGCACUCGACGGUCUUCUUAGAGGGACAAGGUGCUUUUAGCACUGCGAAACAGAGCAAUAACAGGUCUGUGAUGCCCUUAGGUGUCCGGGGCCGCACGCGCGCUACACUGAAGGAAGCAGCGUGUAACAACCUUGUUCUAACGAACUGGGUAACCCGUGGAACUUCCUUCAUGAUUGGGAUAGGGGUUUGCAAUUGUGCCCCUUGAACGAGGAAUUCCCAGUAAACACUAGUCAUCAGCUAGUGCUGAUUACGUCCCUGCCCUUUGUACACACCGCCCGUCGCUACUACCGAUUGAAUGGUUUAGUGA
rnacentral:rRNA from 1 species